CCCAGAGGCCAGGGCGGCUGGAGCGGGCAGAGAGCUCCGCCCAGGGCUGUCGGGGGAGGGGGCGGGGCGAGAGAGCGUGAUGCCAAGUUUGCGUCCUGAGAGCUGAUCCCGCCCACGCCCUCCUCCCGGUUUACUACGGGAUCCAACGCCCUCCCCUGCAGCGUCUGCUAAACUCUCCCGGGCGGGGUGCCCUCAGAAAGCCCCCCUCCGGCCCCCUCCGUGCCAGCUGCACUGGGGGCAGGGGUGUGUCCGCAGCCCCCGCCCCGGCCGGCCUGGCAGAAACGCUGAGUCAGCAGCCCUCUCCCAGCACCCGCGCGGCUUCCUCCCACAGAGUAUAAUAGGCAGCUAAAAUGAGUUCACUCGGAUUACUGCACAACUACGCACGCCAAGCAAGAGAUGCUGAGAUGAGAUUGGGAAGCUGUGGAAAGAUCUGGUCUGAACAGCGUUGCAAUGUGGGACAGCAAGCCUGGGUGCUGUGCACACUGAGAAAUGAAAUUACUUUAUGGGAUGAAACAAAAAGGAAAAAUACUGCAAGUAUUUAUAACCCGUGCCACUCAAGGAAGAGCAACCAUCUGGCUUAAAUCCUUCUCGAAAGUCAGCAAUGGAGGAGAUACUGGCCCCCAACUCUUUCUCUUCCAGAGGGAGAGCCCCUUACACGUGGCCCGGGGGUAAAGCUUAGAGAUUCCCAUUCCUGAUGCUUUCUCGCGCAUUUCUGUAGAUUUCACGUCAGACCCAGACCACCUCGUGCCGUUCAGUAAUCCCAUGUCUGGAAUCACGACUGAAAUGAGAGCCAGGAGAGAACUUAUUUUUCCCCCUCGGUUGCCCUAACUCUCAGCUUAGGAGUCCCCCAGACACCCAUAAACAUGAUCUAGUGUGCUUCUGCUCAUCACACCUUGCACAAGUGCCCUGAGGGGGGGAUUUGACGCAAGCACUGUGGCGGGGGAGACAGCUGGGAACCGUCAGUCCCCGCAGGAGGACAGAGGUCUCCAGCUGCCAUGAGGGCGCGUUCCCUGUGCGUGCCUCAGUGUUCCUUUCUUAACACAUUGCCUAAACCAGUGACUCUCCUGCACAAAGGAGUCCAGGGACGUGAUGUUCGGGGAAUUCUAUUUUCUUAUGAAGUCUGAAUAAAAACGCCCUUCUCUGGGACUUCACUGGUGGUCCAGUGGCUAAGACUCUGCCCUGCAAUACAGAGGGCCUGGGUUCAAUCCCCGGUCAGGGAACUAGAUCCUGCACGCCACAGCUAAGUGUUUUCAUGCUGCAGCUAAGACCUGGUGCAGCCACACAAAUAAACAAAUAAAAGUAAAUUAAAAAUAA